GACGAACGCUGGCGGCGUGCUUCAUACAUGCAAGUCGAGCGGGGUCCCUCCCUUCGGGGAGAAGACCUAGCGGCGAACGGGUGAGUAACACGUGAGCAACCUGCCCCGAACAUCGGGAUAAGCCCGGGAAACUGGGUCUAAUACCGGAUACCUAUUUCAGUUCGCAUGAACAGAACUAGAAAGGUCCGCCGGUUCGGGAGGGGCUCGCGGCCUAUCAGCUUGUUGGCGGGGUAACGGCCCACCAAGGCAACGACGGGUAGCCGACCUGAGAGGGUGACCGGCCACACUGGGACUGAGACACGGCCCAGACUCCUACGGGAGGCAGCAGUAGGGAAUCUUGCGCAAUGGGCGAAAGCCUGACGCAGCGACGCCGCGUGCGGGAUGACGGCCUUCGGGUUGUAAACCGCUUUCAGUGGGGAAGAAGCGAAAGUGACGGUACCCACAGAAGAAGCCCCGGCCAACUACGUGCCAGCAGCCGCCGCAG
rnacentral:rRNA from 1 species